rnacentral:rRNA from 1 species
CACGUAGUUAGCCGGAGCUUCCUCCCCAGGUACCGUCAUCUUCGUCCCUGGGGACAGUGGUUUACAAUCCAGAGGACCGUCUUCCCACACGCGGCGUCGCUGCAUCAGGGUUUCCCCCAUUGUGCAAUAUCCCCCACUGCUGCCUCCCGUAGGAGUCUGGGCCGUGUCUCAGUCCCAAUGUGGCCGUUCGACCUCUCAGUCCGGCUACCGAUCGUCGGCUUGGUGAGCCGUUACCUCACCAACUACCUAAUCGGACGCGAGCCCAUCUCCGAGCGAUAUAAUCUUUGAUACCAAAGGGAUGUCCCUCCAGUAUGUUAUGCGGUAUUAGCGACCGUUUCCAGCCGUUAUUCCCCUCUCGAAGGCAGGUUGCUCACGUGUUACUCACCCGUCCGCCACUAAACUAUCCCGAGAUCCAUCCGAAAACUUCUCCCAAAAUAGUCCCGUUCGACUUGCAUGUGUUAGGCGCGCCGCCAGCGUUCGUCCUGAGCCAGGAUCAAACUCU